rnacentral:tRNA from 1 species
CGGAGAUUGGCGCAGUCUGGUAGCGCAUCUGGUUUGGGACCAGAGGGUCAGAGGUUCAAAUCCUCUAUCUCCGACCA